GAUGAACGCUGGCGGCGUGCCUAAUACAUGCAAGUCGAGCGAAUGGAUUAAGAGCUUGCUCUUAUGAAGUUAGCGGCGGACGGGUGAGUAACACGUGGGUAACCUGCCCAUAAGACUGGGAUAACUCCGGGAAACUGUAGCUAAUACCGGAUACGACCCUCGGAGGCAUCUCCUGGGGGUGGAAAGAAUUUCGGUCAAGGAUGGACUCGCGGCCUAUAAGCUAGUUGGUGAGGUAAAGGCUCACCAAGGCGACGACGGGUAGCCGGCCUGAGAGGACGAUCAGCCACACUGGGACUCAGAAACGGCCCAGACGCCUACGGGGGGCAGCAGUGGGGAAUCUUGCGCAAUGGGCGAAAUCCUGACGCAGCAACGCCGCGUGCGGGAAGAAGGCCUUAGGGUCGUAAACCGCUUUCAGCAGGGACGAAAUUGACGGUACCUGCAGAAGAAGCCCCGGCUAACUACGUGCCAGCCGCCGCCGUAA
rnacentral:rRNA from 1 species